rnacentral:rRNA from 1 species
GGGGAAUAUUGGACAAUGGGCGAAAGCCUGAUCCAGCCAUGCCGCGUGAGUGAUGAAGGCCCUAGGGUUGUAAAGCUCUUUCACCGGGGAAGAUAAUGACGGUACCCGGAGAAGAAGCCCCGGCUAACUUCGUGCCAGCAGCCGCGGUAAUACGAAGGGGGCUAGCGUUGUUCGGAAUUACUGGGCGUAAAGCGCACGUAGGCGGAUCGGUCAGUUAGGGGUGAAAUCCCAGGGCUCAACCCUGGAACUGCCUUUAAUACUGCCGGUCUAGAGUUCGAGAGAGGUGAGUGGAAUUCCGAGUGUAGAGGUGAAAUUCGUAGAUAUUCGGAGGAACACCAGUGGCGAAGGCGGCUCACUGGCUCGAUACUGACGCUGAGGUGCGAAAGCGUGGGGAGCAAAC